AUUGAACGCUGGCGGCAUGCUUUACACAUGCAAGUCGAACGGUAACAGGCCUUCGGGUGCUGACGAGUGGCGAACGGGUGAGUAAUGCAUCGGAACGUACCCAGAGGUGGGGGAUAACGCAGCGAAAGCUGUGCUAAUACCGCAUGUGAUCUGAGGAUGAAAGCGGGGGACCGAGCAGCAAUGUUUGGCCUCGCGCCUUUGGAGCGGCCGAUGUCGGAUUAGCUAGUUGGUGGGGUAAAGGCCUACCAAGGCGACGAUCCGUAGCUGGUCUGAGAGGACGACCGGCCACACUGGGACUGAGACACGGCCCAGACUCCUACGGGAGGCAGCAGUGGGGAAUGUUGGACAAUGGGCGCAAGCCUGAUCCAGCAAUGCCGCGUGCGGGAAGAAGGCCUUCGGGUUGUAAAGCGCUUUUGGCAGGAACGAAACGGUGUCCGCUAAUACCGGGCGCUAAUGACGGUACCUGCAGAAUAAGCACCGGCUAACUACGUG
rnacentral:rRNA from 1 species